rnacentral:rRNA from 1 species
AAUAGAUACCCCGGUAGUCCACGCCGUAAACGAUGUCGACUUGGAGGUUGUUCCCUUGAGGAGUGGCUUCCGGAGCUAACGCGUUAAGUCGACCGCCUGGGGAGUACGGCCGCAAGGUUAAAACUCAAAAUGAAUUGACGGGGGCCCGCACAAGCGGUGGAGCAUGUGGUUUAAUUCGAUGCAACGCGAAGAACCUUACCUACUCUUGACAUCCAGAGAACUUAGCAGAGAUGCUUUGGUGCCUUCGGGAACUCUGAGACAGGUGCUGCAUGGCUGUCGUCAGCUCGUGUUGUGAAAUGUUGGGUUAAGUCCCGCAACGAGCGCAACCCUUAUCCUUUGUUGCCAGCGGUUCGGCCGGGAACUCAAAGGAGACUGCCAGUGAUAAACUGGAGGAAGGUGGGGAUGACGUCAAGUCAUCAUGGCCCUUACGAGUAGGGCUACACACGUGCUACAAUGGCGUAUACAAAGAGAAGCGACCUCGCGAGAGCAAGCGGACCUCAUAAAGUACGUCGUAGUCCGGAUUGGAGU